AUGGGAACAGCAUGUGAGGAGGGGACAAGGCAAAUCUGUACAGCCUGGGAGCAGGAGCAAGACAAGUCUGCAGUCAAGAGAGCUGAGUGUAUAUGAAGAGACCUUUCAUGGAAAUGAAUCCAUUUAAAGGGAUGGAAGAUUGAUGUCCAUGGCAUCCUCUGAACCUAAGAUCCUAAGACAUGUCACCCAUAAUCUGGUCACACCAUCCAAAAGAAACCCUGAAGGCACAGG
rnacentral:lncRNA from 1 species